UGGGGAAUAUUGGGCAAUGGGCGAAAGCCUGACCCAGCAACGCCGCGUGGAGGAAGAAGGUUUUCGGAUCGUAAACUCCUGUCCUAAGAGACGAGGAAGAGACGGUAUCUUAGGAGGAAGCCCCGGCUAACUACGUGCCAGCAGCCGCGGUAAUACGUAGGGGGCAAGCGUUGUCCGGAAUGAUUGGGCGUAAAGGGCGCGUAGGCGGCCCGGUAAGUCUGGAGUGAAAGUCCUGGCUUUAAGUUGGGAAUUGCUUUGGAUACUGUCGGGCUUGAGUGCAGGAGAGGUUAGUGGAAUUCCCAGUGUAGCGGUGAAAUGCGUAGAGAUUGGGAGGAACACCAGUGGCGAAGGCGACUAACUGGACUGUAACUGACGCUGAGGCGCGAAAGUGCGGGGAGCAAACAGGAUUAGAUACC
rnacentral:rRNA from 1 species